CUGGAAAAGAGCAGAACAAUUUGUGGUACUUUAAAGAGCUGAAGUCGAUGACACCAUGACAGGAGAUUCUGUUGAAAAUGUAACAAGUACGAGAUGUUUAUAUACCAGCCAUAAAUGAUUUUGAGAAAUAUCAUCACAACUCUACAAACACCAGCAUACUGAAGUAGAGCUCAGUACAGUUUAUCCACACUCGUCUCAGUAUGCCUCAUUCCCUACAGUUCAGAACACAACCCGAUCCAUAAGUUACUGAAAACACACCGGCAGAAAUGCCGCAUCCGCACCGCAAC